CCUACGGGAGGCAGCAGUGGGGAAUAUUGCACAAUGGGGGAAACCCUGAUGCAGCGACGCCGCGUGAGUGAAGAAGUAUUUCGGUAUGUAAAGCUCUAUCAGCAGGGAAGAAAAUGACGGUACCUGACUAAUAAGCCCCGGCUAACUACGUGCCAGCAGCCGCGGUAAUACGUAGGGAGCAAGCGUUAUCCGGAUUUACUGGGUGUAAAGGGAGCGUAGACGGCCCGACAAGUCAGAAGUGAAAGCCCAGGGCUCAACCCUGGGACUGCUUUUGAAACUGGAGGGCUGGAGUACAGGAGAGGUAGGCGGAAUUCGUGGUGUAGCGGUGAAAUGCGUAGAUAUGAGGAGGAACACCAGUGGCGAAGGCGGCUUACUAGACUGUAACUGACGUUGAGGCUCGAAAGCGUGGGGAGCAAACAGGAUUAGAUACCCGUGUAGUC
rnacentral:rRNA from 1 species